CAAGGCUUCUGGAGUGUAUAUCAACUGCAAGUAUUCCUUUUCUUGAAACAGAUACAUUCUAGCACAUCCCUAUAAGAAGCCUGGUGACUAUGCACCAGCAACAGAAACAGGAGUUAGUUCCAAUGGGAGGAAUCAAUACUAGUAGGAAACAAUUUGGUUUUGGACAUGUCAAGAUUGAGGUGAUGGCAAGACACAAGUGGAAAAAUCCUGAGAGAAUCCAAGAAGAAAAAGGGUGAUACACAUGGAUUAAUAAAUAAACUUAUAAUUUCA